rnacentral:tRNA from 1 species
GCCUUCGUGUUGUAAUGGUAGCACGCUGGGCCUGUAUUCCAGAGGUCCGUGGUUCGAUUCCCGGCGAAGGCG